rnacentral:rRNA from 1 species
UACGUAGGGUGCAAGCGUUAAUCGGAAUUACUGGGCGUAAAGCGUGCGCAGGCGGUUGUGCAAGACAGAUGUGAAAUCCCCGGGCUUAACCUGGGAACUGCAUUUGUGACUGCACGGCUAGAGUACGGCAGAGGGGGAUGGAAUUCCGCGUGUAGCAGUGAAAUGCGUAGAUAUGCGGAGGAACACCAAUGGCGAAGGCAGUCCCCUGGGCCUGUACUGACGCUCAUGCACGAAAGCGUGGGGAGCAAACAGG